AGUUGCCAUCACCUGUGUCUCCACAGCCUUUGAUGGGAUCCUCCACUGAACAUGUCCACCUUUGUGCAGAUGCUGAUGAACUUGCAACUUCUGACACUUCAGUCUCCUGGAAUCCAAUAUCACUUAGGGAAAACAAAUUGAUAAACUUAUGAAAAGGAUCCAUCAUUCUAGAUGUCAUUAUAACAUCUGUGAUUCAUGUGAGAAGGUCAAAAUAUCAACAUUAACAGGAGUUUGGAAGAAGUGGAUUCCAAUCCUCAUGAGACUUUGAGAAGAAGUGGAGCCUGGAGAUGUGACAGAAUUAUUGUAAUCUCAUGAUAAAAUUUGAACAGUCAUAAAAAUUGUAUAGAAAAAAAUAAACCAGCAAGGCGUGGUGGCUCAAUCCUGUAAUCACAGCACUUUGGGAGGCCGAGGCGGGCGGAUC